ensembl:misc_RNA 7SK 7SK RNA
GGAUGUAAGGGCAAUCUGGGAUGUAACAUCUGUCACCCUAGAGGUCACCAACGGUGAUUCCAUUGAUCUGUCCAGCUAACAGGUGUUACCUUCCUUGUUCACCAACCCAUGUUCAUUUUUCCAAUGCUGUGCAUUCAGUCAGAGGAUGAUCUUCCCCAAUAGAGCAUUCUUUAAUCAAAGAUACAUGUGUAGCUGCACAUUCCUACAAGAACCUUCAAAAAUAAGUCCAGAAUAUAAAACCAAAGGAAUCUCAAUAAAUGACCAAUCGUGUUAAAUAAAAGAUAAAGUUUCUGCUU